GUGGGGAAUCUUCCGCAAUGGACGAAAGUCUGACGGAGCGACGCCGCGUGAGUGAAGAAGGCCUUCGGGUCGUAAAGCUCUGUCAUCAGGGACGAACGGCCGGUGGAGUGGAAAGCCACCGGAUUGACGGUACCUGAGAAGGAAGCCACGGCUAACUACGUGCCAGCAGCCGCGGUAAUACGUAGGUGGCAAGCGUUGUCCGGCAUUAUUGGGCGUAAAGCGCGCGCAGGUGGGAUCUUAAGUCCAUUUUUAAAGUUCGGAGCUCAACUCCGUGAUGGGAUGGAAACUGGGAUUCUUGAGGACCGGAGAGGAAAGCGGAAUUCCCCGUGGAGCGGUGAAAUGCGUAGAUAUGGGGAGGAACACCAGUGGCGAAGGCGGCUUUCUGGACGGUGUCUGACACUGAGGCGCGAAAGCCAGGGGAGCGAACGGGAUUAGAUACCCGUGUAGUCC
rnacentral:rRNA from 1 species